rnacentral:rRNA from 1 species
UACAGAGGUCUCGAGCGUUAGGCGGAAUCACUGGGCUUAAAGCGUGUGUAGGCGGAUCGGUAAGUACCUUGUGAAAUCCCACAGCUUAACUGUGGAACUGCUUGGUAUACUGCCAGUCUUGAGCCACUUAGGGGCUACCGGAACAAAUGGUGGAGCGGUGAAAUGCGUAGAUAUCAUUUGGAACGCCAAUGGUGAAAACAGGUAGCUGGGAGUGUGCUGACGCUGAGACACGAAAGCCAGGGGAGCAAAUGGG